rnacentral:rRNA from 1 species
CCUACGGGGGGCUGCAGUGGGGAAUAUUGGACAAUGGGCGAAAGCCUGAUCCAGCCAUGCCGCGUGAGUGAUGAAGGCCCUAGGGUUGUAAAGCUCUUUCACCGGUGAAGAUAAUGACGGUAACCGGAGAAGAAGCCCCGGCUAACUUCGUGCCAGCAGCCGCGGUAAUACGAAGGGGGCUAGCGUUGUUCGGAAUUACUGGGCGUAAAGCGCACGUAGGCGGAUAUUUAAGUCAGGGGUGAAAUCCCGGGGCUCAACCCCGGAACUGCCUUUGAUACUGGGUAUCUAGAGUAUGGUAGAGGUGAGUGGAAUUCCGAGUGUAGAGGUGAAAUUCGUAGAUAUUCGGAGGAACACCAGUGGCGAAGGCGGCUCACUGGACCAUUACUGACGCUGAGGUGCGAAAGCGUGGGGAGCAAACAGGAUUAGAUACCCCGGUAGUC